rnacentral:rRNA from 1 species
UUUUGUAAACAUUGGGGGGUCGUGAAGACUCUAUCAGUUAGUAUUUGUUCUCGAAAGGGCUAUGAUUAAUAUUGAAUAAUCAGACAUAGUACGCUAAGGUUGUAUGUCUAAAGGGAAACAGCCCAGAACAAGUGUUAAUAAGGUUCCAAAAUUAUUAUUAAGUGAAACAAAGGUAGUUUAUGUCUUAAACGUCCAGGAAAUAGGCUUAGAAGCGGCCCAUUUUUUAAAGACCUCGUAACAGAGCACUGGUUUAAUCUAAUUUAGUUUUUUAUAUAAAUUAGCUAAAAGUGUAUUAAAUAUAAUCUAGAUCGAUAGAAGCACCGACGAUUCAACGGAUCUAAAUAAUAUACCGAAACCUUGUCCAUAUAUAUAUAUCUAGUUGAAAAAAGAAAGAGAUCUCUUUCUGUUUUUUAUAUAAUAUAAUGGGGUAGCGGAACAUUGGGCAAACCACAUCUUUUUUUUAUAAAAAAACUUUAGGUACCCCAAGUGAUAAUGCUGACAUGAGUAACGAUAAAGGGAAAAUCCCUCGCCUAAAGCUUAUGGAAUUUAGUUAAAGUAACGGCCUCUAAGUUUAUAUAUAAAACUUAUAUACACUAGAUAUCUAGUAUAUAAGUUAACCUAAGGGAUUAAACGAUGAGCAAAUCUAUAGAGGUACAAAUAAAUAACAUUUAUAUACAAUUAUCAGAAGAAAACUUAAGAAAAAUAAAUAACAUUUAUAUACAGUUAUAAAGAGCAGAAGCAGACAAAAAUAACAUUUAUAUAUAGUUCUAAUAAGAAAACUUAAGAAAAAGAAAUAAUUGUGUUAAAGUGAUAAAUGUUCUGGAAAAUAGUAUCUAUCUAAAAUUAUUUAUAUGAGUAGUCUAAAGAAAAUAUAGAUUUAACUAUACCGUACCUAAAAACUACCACAAGUAAGCAAGUAGAG